ACAUCACUGAAAUCCCAUCGCCAAAGGUCCAGUGGGUGGGUUUAGGUUUCAUCCGAGCGAUGCCCAACUAUCCCGGAUGAACCUAUGGGGUUUUCUUUAAAGUUUAAACGUUUUAAAGUUUUUGUUUUCUUUAAGUUUUAACGUUUUAAAGUUUUAACGUUUUGCAAGUUUUUAACGUCUAACGUUUUGCUAGUUUAAAGUAAGAAGAAAUUUAUGAUUGGAUCAGAUGAUUUCAACAAUGGUUUUGUGAAUGAGGAUUCCUACUGUUUUCUUCUGCGUUUGCAAGUUAUUUCAAGCUUCAUUACGGCGGAGCUUGCCUUGGUUGUUUGCACGUCGAAGCUUUCCUUUGUGCGGCGCGCAUGUGGAUGUGCCGCGCCUCUCCUUUUGUCAACACACCGGAUAAGGCCCGGUGGAGGACUGCGAGGUUGACCGGUGGACGUGCAGCCCGCCAGCUGCGUAACAGUUGGCCCGCUGCGCCGCCAUCGUCCAGCACGCCCUGGCCUGAGCCGGCCUCUACUCAUCACCUGUACGGUAUUCCGGAACGCCUCAGGUAGGCCUGAUAGUCGGAGGUCCUCGAGUAAGUGAGGUGCCUACAGGUGUACGGACAGUGUUUUUAAAUAUAGUGAUAUCCCAUGGUUGUUACGGAGUGACAAUUAACCUGACGGACCAAAGCGCGACCUGUCUCCCUCCAUAGGGUUUUUGACCUACCUAUGGUUAAUGAAAUUUGUAGAUUUAAAAAAUAUACAUUGUACAAAUUCAA